rnacentral:rRNA from 1 species
UAGAGUUUGAUCCUGGCUCAGAACGAACGCUGGCGGCAGGCCUCAAACAUGCAAGUCUAGGGGGUGCGGCAAUGCAUCACCGGCGGACGGGUGCGUAACGCGUGGGAAUAUACCUAUUGGUUCGGAACAACUGCGGGAAACUGCAGCUAAUACCGAAUGUGCCCUCACGGGGAAAGAUUUAUCGCCAAUGGAUUAGCCCGCGUCCGAUUAGCUUGUUGGUGGGGUAAUGGCCUACCAAGGCUUCGAUCGGUAGCUGGUCUGAGAGGAUGAUCAGCCACACUGGGACUGAGACACGGCCCAGACUCCUACGGGAGGCAGCAGUGGGGAAUUUUGGACAAUGGGGGCAACCCUGAUCCAGCCAUGCCGCGUGCGGGAAGAAGGCCUUCGGGUUGUAAACCGCUUUUAGUCGGGAAGAAAAGGCCGAGGUGAAUAGCCUUGGUUUUUGACGGUACCGGCGGAAUAAGCACCGGCUAACUACGUGCCAGCAGCCGCGGUA